rnacentral:rRNA from 1 species
GUCCACGCCAUAAACGAUGUGUGCUAGUUGUCGGAGCCUACGGUUUCGGUGACGCAGCGAAAGCGGUAAGCACACCGCCUGGGGAGUACGGUCGCAAGAUUAAAACUCAAAGGAAUUGACGGGGACCCCGCACAAGCGGUGGAGCAUGUUGUUCAAUUCGAAGCAACGCGAAGAACCUUACCUAUUCUUGACAUACCAGGACGAUUCCCAGAGAUGGGUUUCUUCCCGCAAGGGACUUGGAUACAGGUGCUGCAUGGCUGUCGU